CAUCGAUUCCCGUACGAUCACGGAAGAUAAGCAACGUCGAGCCUGGUCAGUACCUAGAUGGGUGACCGCUUGGAAAUACAAGCUGCAG